GCCUGGGGAGUACGGCCGCAAGGUUAAAACUCAAAUGAAUUGACGGGGGCCCGCACAAGCGGUGGAGCAUGUGGUUUAAUUCGAUGCAACGCGAAGAACCUUACCUACUCUUGACAUCCAGAGAACUUAGCAGAGAUGGUUUGGUGCCUUCGGGAACUCUGAGACAGGUGCUGCAUGGCUGUCGUCAGCUCGUGUUGUGAAAUGUUGGGUUAAGUCCCGCAACGAGCGCAACCCUU
rnacentral:rRNA from 1 species